rnacentral:rRNA from 1 species
AAUCAACGCUGGCGGCGUGCCUCAGACAUGCAAGUCGAACGAUUAAAGCUCUCUUCGGAGAGUGUAUAGAGUGGCGCACGGGUGAGUAACACGUAAGUAAUCUACCCUCGGGUGGGAAUAACAUCGGGAAACCGAUGCUAAUACCGCAUAAUGCAGCGGCUCCUAAUGGAGACAGUUGUUAAAGGAUUUAUUCGCCUGAGGAGGAGCUUGCGGCAGAUAGCUAGUUGGUAAGGUAAUGGCUUACCAAGGCUACGAUCUGUAGCCGGUCUAAGAGGACGGUCGGUCACACUGACACUGAAUAACGGGUCAGACUCCUACGGGGAGGCAGCAGGUCGGGAAUUUUUGGGCAAUGGGCGAAAGCCUGACCCAGCAACGCCGCGUGAAGGAUGAA